CGUAACAAGGUUUCCGUAGGUGAACCUGCGGAAGGAUCAUUAACGAGUUUUUGAAACGGGUUGUUGCUGGCUUCCAAAAAGAAGCAUGUGCACGCCUGACUCAAUCCACUCUCAAACCCCUGUGCACUUAUUGUAGGCUUGGUGAUUGAAGAGCUCGCAAGAGUUCUGAUAGAGCCCUGUCUAUGCUUUUACAAACGCUUCAGUUUAAGAAUGUUACUCGCGUAUAACGCAAUAAAUACAACUUUCAGCAACGGAUCUCUUGGCUCUCGCAUCGAUGAAGAACGCAGCGAAAUGCGAUAAGUAAUGUGAAUUGCGGAAUUCAGUGAAUCAUCGAAUCUUUGAACGCACCUUGCGCUCCUUGGUAUUCCGAGGAGCAUGCCUGUUUGAGUGUCAUGGUAUUCUCAACUCUACAAAGCUUUUGCAAUGAAGAGUUGGAUUUGGAGGCUUGUGUCGGCUCGAAAGAGUUGACUCCUCUGAAAUGCAUUAGUGUGAGCCUUUACGGAUCGCCUCCAGUGUGAUAAUGUCUACGCUGUGGUGUUGAAGUAUUUCUAGUGUUCAUGCUUCUAAUCGUCCUCUUGGGACAAUCAUUUGACAAUCUGACCUCAAAUCAGGUAGGACUACCCGCUGAACUUAAGCAUAUCAAUAAGCGGAGGAAAAGAAACUAACAAGGAUUCCCCUAGUAACUGCGAGUGAAGCGGGAAAAGCUCAAAUUUAAAAUCUGGCAGUCUUUGGCUGUCCGAGUUGUAAUCUGGAGAA
rnacentral:misc_RNA from 1 species